UAAAAACACAAACUUUAACUAAAAUGGGGAGUAAAUUAAUUAUUUAUGGUUAUUACGUGAAACUAGCUUUAGUACUUUACUAGAGGCGCAGUGGUUUUUGUCUAAAUUAGAAUGCAGCAGUAUGUUUCCAUCUGGUUUUCCAUAUUCCUGGAAUAGGGGACCUGUACCCACCAUCAAGUCCGGAUUUUUCCAUGUAAAAUUAAGGGUAUGCAUCGGGUGUAUAUAAUAGCAAAUUAUUAAUUCAAAUUAAAUGCUAUAAAUAGAUUUUGAUUUAAUUGUAUCCUAUAGCAAACUAUUGCUAUUUUCGCCACUCUCCCUGGUGGAAUCUCGCUCGCCACUCUCGUUUGGUGGCAGUUUCGCUCGCCUCUCUCGCUUUUAUACACAAACACAAAUGUAUAAAAUGUGUUUGUGUUUGUAUAAAGCGAGAUGACAUUAUAUAUAUACAUAUUUUUUCGUUCCCCUUUCUCCCCUCUCCCAGAUCUCGCUCGCCACCCUCGCCUCUCUCACUUAUACAAACAGAAACGAAAUGUAUAAAUUGCGAUUCUGUUUGUAUAAAGCGGGAGAAAAUUGUAUAUACACAUGCAAAUACGUAUAUCUUCAUCCUAUACACUUAGAAUUAUACAAUACAAAUAUUUUCAUACCCAGUUUUCUUUUGCCUUUCUCUCUUUCUCGUUUUAUACAUACACAGAUUAUACAAUUGAUCUUUUGUUAUACAACUGCUUUCUUUUUGUAUAUGUAUAGCGAAUUAUACAACUGUCUUCUUUGUAUAUGUAUAGUGAAUUAUACAACUGUUUUUUGUAUAUGUAUAGCGAAUUAUACAUAUAUAUGUUUGCUAUGGAGCUCAAUUAUGCAAACUUUGCUAUAGCAUACAAAUAUGAAUUUUGCGUUUGCUAUAUGUGAAAGUUGCUCUUAUUUUUAUUAGUUCGAUUUAUUAAUUAACUUUUAAUUAUGCUAAAUCAAUAAUUAAAUUAAUAGGAUAUCUCUUAUUGAUUUUCGAUUUAUUAGUUAUGGAUGCUUAAUGAUUUGAUUUCUAAUUUAACCAAUAAAAAAAGAUACUCAUAAAAUAAAUAUAUAAAUUCUCUAAUAAUUUAAUAUGACAUGACAAUAUAAUAUAACUUUACGCAAUACUUAUAAAAUAGAGUUGUGGCUGUCAAUGCUAACAUAAACAUGAUUCUAAUGAAGUCCAACCCUUAAAAGUAGCAUAUAGGGGAGGAAUAUGAAAAGCAAAUAGUAUACAAGUGAAGUAUCAGAGAGAGGUAGAAUCACCACAUAUCAUGGAGGAGGUAGGCCCCAAAAGUUUGAGAUGGCUCCUGGUUUUCGGGAACAAAACUGGUUUGUUUUCACGACUGUGGGCGGGCUCAAUCUGUGGAUUACUGGCGUCGUUACUCACUCCCAUAAGCUAGGAGUAAUUCUUACGAGUCAUUUGGUAGAGUGUAUUAGUAAAAAUAAUGUAUGCAUUAAUUUUGUAUAUUAGUAGUUCCUUGUUUGGUCCUCCAUGUUGAGUUAAUUCUACUGUUGAGUUAAUUAUUCUAACUUUAUUAAUUAAUGUCAUGCAAAGAGACAAAUGCAAAAUACGUUUCAAAGGUGAAGAUACAUCCGUUCCAAACAAAAGUGAUGUAAUGGCCUUUAAUGCCAUUAGCCUUGACAAUAUGUUUCUAAAAUUAAACUCUCUUACUUGCAACUCCUUUUCUUGCAAAUCAUAUAUAAGAAGAGGCUUUGGUGAACAUAACACAACAUUACCAACAUAAACAAAAAGAAGAGAAAAACUUCUUCUUCCUUUCUCCUUAUUCUUAGAAUAUUGUUGGGCAAUUGGUUUUGAGCAACCUCCAAACUCUCAACCACGAGUGCAUGUGUCUGAGAGUAACUGUGGAACCUUGGGGAGCGAUCGGCUACAACGAUUUGCACCGGAGUUGAGCCGAAAUCACUUUCAAGGCAGUGGCUUGCCACAACACAGUGUUUGUGAUAAGUUAUUUACUACUUUAUAAUUCCAAUCAAAUAUCAAUAUUAUAGUAUUUUUCCCAACAAUUUGAAAGCGAUUUACUAACAUACAAUAUUGAUAAAUGGCUAUUUCUUUGAACAAAUUUUUUUUUGAUUUGUCAAAAUUUGAGCCUUUGGAUGGAAGUAAUUUUAAACGAUGAUCACAAAUUUUUUUAAUUUUCUUUGAACAAUUAGAAGUUGAUUAUGUUUUAUUUAAAGAACCUUCUAUGAAUGGUUCUAACACCACUAUUGAUUCUAGCAAUGUUAUGGUUGUUGAUGAUGUUGUUAAAAAGAAGUUUGAAAAGGAUAACAAAAUUGUGAGAGGACAUUUGUUAAAUCAUAUGAAAAAUUCUUUAUUUGAUUUAUUUUUAACCUAUAAAUCUACCAAAGAAAUAUGGGAUAGUUUGAAAAAGAAAUAUGGUACUGAUGAUGCAGGAAAGAAAAAAUAUAUUGUCGGUCAGUGGAUUAAAUUCCAAAUGGUUGAUAAUAAGUCAAUAAUGAAACAAGUUCACUAAUAUGAGAACUUGACUGCUGAUGUUUUCAACGAGGACAUGAAGAUGUGUGAGAUAUUUCUGCUUGAAAAAUUCCCACCAUCUUGGAGUGAUUAUAGAAAUCAAUUAAAACAUAAGAAAAAGAAUUUAACUCUCCAAGAACUUAUUCGUCACAUGAGGACUGAAGAGGCGAACCGUCUCAAAGAUAAGAUGGAAGAAUUUUUCUCUUAAUUCUUCUAAAGCUAAUCUUGUUGAAUCUUCUGGUACUAUUGUGAAAGACAGGUUUAAAGGCAGACAGAAGAAAGUCUCGAAAAAGGAACAUAUGAAGAAGAAAAAUCAAUUCAACAAGCCGGAGAGCCAAAUUCAAAAAUUUAAGAGUCCUUGUUUUGCUUGUGGAAAAGUUAGUCACAGGGUUGCCAAGUGCUAUCAAAGAAAGAGGCAGGACUCAAAGUAGGAAGGACAAAAUGAUGUCCAACCUCGUCUUGCUGAGGGUAAUGAAGUGAUUGUUGUUGUAGUCGUUGAGGCAAAUCUGGUGGCUAACAAAACUGACUGCUUGCUGAGGGUAAUGAAGUGAUUGUUGUUGUAGUCGUUGACGCAAAUCUAGUGGCUAACAAAAUUGACUGGGUGCUAGACACAAGCGCUUCAAGGCAUUUUUGGCCAAUAAGAAUUUAUUUUAUGACUUUGAGGAGUCCAUUGAUGGCGAGUGUGUAUAUAUGGGUAACUCUACUACUGAUGUAGUAAUGGGUAAUGAAAAAGAUUUACUUAAAUUAACUUCCCUUGAACAAUGUUUUGUAUGUUCCCUCCCUCCGUAGAAACUUAGUUUCCGGAGCACCUCUCAACAAAGUAGGCCUUAAACUUGUUUUGAAGCUGAUAAAAUGAUUAUUUCUCGUGGAGGAGACUCCGUUGGGAAGGGAUAUCUUAGUGGGGGAUUAUUUGUAUUGAACAUUGUUCAAGAGAUUGUCAAUAACGCAAGUAUUUCAAAUUCUGCUUAUAUUAUCGAGUUUAUUAAUUUAUGGCAUGGUAGACUAGGUCAUGUUAAUAUUGCAUCUAUUAAAAGACUUAGAAAAAUGGAAUUAAUUCCUAUGAUAAAAACUGAUGAGUUUUCUAAAUGUCUUGUGUGUAGAAGCAAAGCAUGCCAAGAAACCUUUCAAAUUUGUUAUUAGUAGAAAGACCGAAUUACUUGAACUAAUACAUUCAGAUUUAGCAAAUUUCAAGAACAUUGCUAGCAAAGGUGGAAAAAAGUAUUACGUUACUUUUGUCGAUGACUUUUCUAGAUACACUAAGGUAUAUCUUCUUAAUUCUAAAGAUGAGGCUGAAAGCAUGUUUUUGAAAUUCAAAGCAGAAGUGGAAAAUCAAUUAGACAGGAAAAUCAAGAGAUUUAGAUCGGAUAGGGGCAGUGAAUAUUGUACUAAAACUCUAAAGGAUUUUUGUGAGAAAAUGGUAUUAUACAUGAGGUUAGUGCUCCCUAUACUCCCCAACAAAAUGGUGUAGCCGAACGAAAAAAUAGAACCCUUAAAGAAAUGAUGAAUUUUAUGCUUCUAAGCUCUGGUCUAUCUGAAAAUAUGUGGGGAGAAACAGUCUUGCUUGCGUGCUAUAUUCUUAAUAGAGUCCCUCAUAAGAAGUUAGACAAGACCUCAUAUGAGUUGUGGAAAGGAUUUGCCCCUAACUUGAAAUUUUUGAAAGUGUGGGGGUGUUUGACUAAGGUUGGUCUACCUGAUUUUAAACGAGUAAAUGUUGGUUCUAAGACUUUUGAUAUUGUCUUUAUUGGUUAUGCUCAAAAUAGUGCUGCAUAUAGAUUUAUGUCUCUCAAUGAUCACACUAUUUGUGAAUCUAGCGAUGCAAAAAAUUUUGAGCAUAUUUUUUCUUUGAAAAAUAAUAUGUUGAGUGAUGUGCAAAAUAAUGCUUCUACAUCUAUGUCUGUUAAUUCUCAUGUUGUGCCUUCUUCUAAUGUUAUUUCUAAUGAGCAUGAAAAUGAACUUAGAAGGAGUAAAAGACGUAGAAUUGAGACAAGUUUUGAACCUGAUUUUAUCACUUCUUUCUUAACUGAAAAUUUGGAUAUUAAUAUUUUAAAUGAUGAAUCAGUGUCUAUCUAUUUAAUAGAAGAAGACCCUAAGACUUAUGAUGAAGCUAUGAGAUCAAUAGAUGUUAUAUUUUGGAAAGAGGUAUUAAAAGUGAAUUAGACUCUAUAGUUUCUAAUCACACUUGGAACUUGUAUGAUUUACCUAAAGGUUGUAAACUCAUAAGUAGCAAGUGGAUAUUUAAGAAGAAAUUGAGACAUGAUGGUACAAUUAAUAAAUAUAAGGCUAGAUUUGUUAUUAGGGGUUUUAACCAAAAGAAAGGAGCUCAAUUCAAUCAAAUCAUGAAAUUAGGCUGGGCUGGCCCAAUAGUCCAAGCCCAUGCCUGUGGCUAUAUUUCAAUGGAAAAUUUUUCAAAAUGUCAAAAUUUUGAUAUUUAAUAGGAUCUCUUAGCCAUACUCUUCUUUUAAUAUUUAUUUAAAAUGUCAAUAUUUUAGUUUGUUAUAUAUCUUAUGUAUGUAUUUUCUUAUUUGUAUGAUUUGCAAGAAACACAAUUAUUUAAUAACAGAAAGGAGAAAAUCAGGGGAGAUAAUAUUUAAAAAAAGGAACAUAUCACUUAAAAUUCUCACCAGUUACAAUUUCAAAGAAAUCAACUUUUUUUUUAUUAUGUUUUCAUUGUAAUUGUAUACCAAUAUUUUUUACAUUUAAUGUGUUGACUUUACCUUUCAAAUUAAAUUUGAUAUUUUACUUUCAUAGUGAAAACUACAAAUCGUAUCCCAGUGAUCAAAAUUGUAUUACAUGAUUGCCAAAUAUAUUUUUCUUUUAUUUGUAUUAUAAAAAUAUCACUGAUUGUAUCCCAAUAUAAUUAAUCAUUACAUAUGAAUAUGAUUUAUGAAAGGAUACAAGAUUCUGAAAAAAAAAAUUAGCAUACAUGGUGGAAAUAAUACAAUCUAUUGAGGAAUGAUACAAUAUUCUAAAAAAAAUUAGAAGUUGGCUAUGAAAGAAACAGAGAUACAAGAUUCUGGAAAAAAAUUUAGCAUACAUAGUGGAAAUAAUACAAUCUGUUGAGGAAUGAUACAAUAUUCUAAAAAAAAAUACAAACUGGCUGUGAAAAAAAUAGAAUACAUAUAUGCUUAAGAAAUAUGAAUCAAUUUGACAUACGUACUUGAAUGACCACAAACUUAAAAGAAAUACAAUGUUCUUAAUAAAAUUACAAAUGCUGAGAAAAACAAAAAUAAUUAACAAACAAAAAUUAAUAUGAAUACAAUCCUGGUAUGAAUACAAUUCAACUUUCUUCUCUCAAUCUCUCUUUCUUCUUCUUCUUCGUCUGCUAUGUUGUUUUUUUUCUGAUUUUUUUUUUUUAUCAAACUCAAAUCCAAAUCCGUAUUCACUUGUGCAUAUAUUAGUAACCCUAUAAACAAAAUUUGAAAUUAUUAAUUAUGAAUGUAUAAAAAAUCAAACAAUAUAUGAUGUAUGAAUGCUAAUGUAUGUAGAUUACUAUAAUCUAUUAAAUCUCAAAUAUGAAAACAAAAUCACAAAAAUAAUAAUUGAACAAUAGAGUUUAAAAGACGAAAAAUUCGAAAUACAUAGAAGAGGGAAAUCUCAUAAAAUACUUGGUGAAUAUGAGAACCUCACAAAAAAAUCAAACAAUAUUAUUCAAAGACGAAAAAUCCGAAAUACAAAAUACUUGAUAAUUGUGAAAACAAAAUCACAAGACAUCUCACAAAAUACUUGUUGACUUCGAAUUUACCUUUAUCCAUGGUUGAAAAAUCUUUUGAAUUAAUUGUGAGAUUUCUUGAACAAAGUGUAGGAAAUUGGAAGAGUUGAUUUUCUUGAAUAAGGAAAGGCGAUAACAAUGGUGAAAAGGAAAGAGAGAGAAAUGAGCAAUUUGGGGUAAAACCUAGAAAGAGAGGUAAGUGGGUAAUGGGGGUAUAAUUAUUUUUAUUUUACGGAUGAGGGAGUAAAAAAGGGUCUAACUUGAGCAUGAUUUGAGAAAUAAAAGGAAAAGAAAUUAAUUAUAUUAGGAUACAAUUAAUCUUCUAAAAUAUUGACAUAUUGACAUUUUUAAUAAUUAUUUUUAAGUGUAGAUAUUUUUUAUAAUUAUAUUAGGGAUUAUGACUAGUUUGCUAAUUUUUCCUAUUUUGAUUAUUCUUUAGAUAUGACUUCUAUAAAUAGCUAUUUGUGAACUUCACCUCAUCAUAUAUGGCAAAUUAGGCACUUUCAGGACAACAAGGGUUACAACUUUCAAUUGACAAUUGGCACAAACAGCCGCAGACGUAUAAAAGUUAUAUUUUAUAAAUUUAUAAGAGAGAAAAAGUUGAUUUAUAUUUUCAAAUAAUUAUCCUACAUUAGCAAAAAUUGCUUUCAAAGCAAUGACUUGCCACCACACAAUGUUUUAUUUUAUAAGUUAUUUUUGUUCUCAUUUUGUUAUUAAUUAUCAAACUAGUUUUGAAUAUGUAGCAAGAGUUAAUGGGAAAUGGAGGGAAGAUGAAAAGAGAGGAACUUGAAAAGUUGGGAACUUGAAGAAUUGGAAACUUGAAAAGUCCUUUUAUGCUUUAGUGAAAAGGCAUUUCUCCCUCAUCGGUGGUGGAAAGAAAAAUAAAAGAGUUUAAAUAUAGAAACACUCCUAUUAAUUGUUAAAAGGGUUGGAAAGAGGGACCCCUUCGCACCGUCGUCGUCGUCGCUCGCUCGCUCGGCUUCGGCGACAAAGUUUGUUUAAAUUAUUUAUUUAAUUAAUUAAAUUAAAUUAAAUGGCCAAAACGUCAAAAUGUUUCAAUUAAUUAGUUAAUUAACCAAAAUGUUUCGGCUAUUCAGUUAAUUGACCGACCUGACUCGGAUCCGCGCGCGACCCAUUUUAUUUAAAUUCUUUUCCGUUUUAUUUAAAUUUCCCGCCGUUGGAAGUGACUGUUCUAAAAGGUUGCAACUUUCAUGAACAGUCAUGACCGUUUGAAAGGUUGCAAACUUUCGUGAAUGGUCGUGUGGAUUCUGAAAGGGUUGAUUCUUCAGAUUUAUUAAUUACGAUUUUUUCUGAUUUCUUCUUCUUCUUCUGCACAAAGUUUCUUCAUAUACUUUACUGUUAUUGAGUGGUUCGAUGAUACCAGAGUUUUGGGUAUCAAUACACUGGUGAUUGAGAUCAUUCUAUCCUGGGAGGACAUAUUCCAAAUCAAACCUCAAAUACUAGAGGGGAAUAAUUUCUUUAAGGGGGCACUGUGCAGUCAGUGGGCUUGAUCUUUUCCGUUCUGUCUUUUUCCAGAUUCUAGUAUGUUUUUCAGAUUUUAGUUGUUCUAAAUUAAUUUCUGUUCUUCUAUUUUUACUAGUUCAUUAAAACUUUGAUUACUUCGUGUUUCUGCAAAGUUUAUUGGAAUCAGAAAUUCUGUUUUAAACACAGAUUGACAACAAUUAUAACAAAUUGUUCGAUUUCAGCAGUCCCAUAAUGGAUCAAAAAGAUUUAUAUUGAAUGUCCUGCUCCUGCCUGAACUUUCCCAUCAACCAAACCAUACUCCAUUAAUGCAUUCUUUUAGUUUUGUAUAGGUCUUCGAUCAAUAUUGAUCUCGGAGGUUUUGGUACUUCAACUCGUCCAAUGUACUUUAUUUUUCUUUAAAUAAACACAAUGGGGGUCGAUGCCGAAUCUGUUAUGAAUAUGAGAAUCAAAAGUUACGCAUUGUUAUCAAUGUAACAGUAAAGCUAGUUACAAAAUGUUAGUUACAAAAGUUUGUUAUAAUGUUAGUUAAAGGUAACUCUAGUUAAUUUAGACUAACUAGCUUGUACAGUUAAGAUACACUAUAAAUAGAGUAGUGUAGGCAUUAUUUGUAUUGUAUCAGAUUAUCAUUCAAUACAGUGAAAAGUUCUUCUUCUUUGAUUGAAUCAUCUGCUCUAUAAUUCUUCAUGGUAUCAGAGCCAUGGAUGCUCUCCUGAUGUAUUCCGCAAAUUAGGUUGUUAAACUCUUCUGCUUGCAGUGCACACGAAAGGCUCUCCAACAGAGUCUGCAUUAUCUUAGAAGCAGUCCUGUUUUUACUUCGUUUGUUGCUCCUGAUUCAGUGAAGAUCUUCAUCAAUGACGAUAGGUGAAGGCUCCAAUCCUGACACUCUUACUCCUUCAGCUGGUGGUAGAGAAGCCAUAGUUGAUUCACAUCAUCCUUUGUUUCUUCAAGCGUGUGACACUCCAGGUAGUUCACUGGUCUCUACUCAAUUAAUUGGAUCUGAAAACUAUUCUUUGUGGAGCAGGUCUAUGAAGAUAGGUCUGCUAGGCAAAUGUAAAAUAGGAUUUGUGGAUGGAUCUAGUUCUAAAGAGAAGUUUCAAGCUUCCUUCCAUAAUAUGUGGGAGAAAUGUAAUGCAAUUGUCCUUUCAUGGAUCAUGAUUUCUGUUAGUCGAGAACUUCUCAGUGGGAUAGUUUAUGCUAAUAGUGCUCAACAAGUUUGGAAUGACCUGAAGGAAAGGUUUGAUAAGGUUGAUGGAUCACGUAUAUUCUAUCUACAUAAGGAGAUUGCUACACUCACUCAAGGAAUAUUGUUUGUUUCCAUCUAUUUCUCCAGGUUUAAAGAGCUUUGGAUGGAGUUUGAUUCUCUCAUGCCCUGUCCUGGGUGUGACUGUUUAGUUUCAAAGACUUAUGCAAUUCAUUUUGAGUAUCAAAGGCUUAUGCAGUUUCUCAUAGGUCUCAAUGAGUCUUACAACCAAUGUAGAAGCCAAAUUAUGAUGAUGGAUCAUGUUCCCAGUGUGAACAAAGCCUAUUCACUAGUGAUUGUAGAAGAGAGUCAGAGGAUCCUUGGUAAGGCAAAUACUGUUGUUGAGAUGCCUUCUAACCAUGGAUACAAGAGGCUCUAGCCUUCUUUAGUGGCAGUAAUCAUACCUACUCAGGCUCCAGAGGAUCGGGAUCUGGUGGUCCUGGUACUACUGGAUCUACUUCCAGACCUAAGAAGCCAUUUAACAGUUAUUGUUUUGUGAUUACUGUAAUUGGAAAGGUCACACAAGGGAUCACUGCUACAAACUUCAUGGUUAUCCAUCUGACUGGAAAGGUAAGAAGAAAAUCAGUCCUGGUUCAACUAGCACAACUAGUUUUGCUGCUGCUAGUUCUGGUCCUAGUAGCCUCUCAAGCAGAUCUCCAUCAGGUGUUAGCAAUACUGGUGUCUCUCAUGCAUUUAUGACUAACCUGCAGCAUCAACAGUUUCAACCUCAUGCAACUUCACAGCCACAACAUCCUCAUUUCUCCCACCAGCAGUACAUGCGGAUCCUGCAAUUGCUAGAUCAGGGAAAUGGGAAGACUACCGCUGAUGCUCUUGUGUCUACCUCAGGUACAUCAGGUUUGUUUCCUACUUCCAAGUGGAUAUUUGAUUCAGGAGCUUCCAAACAUAUGGUUCAUAGUCUGCGUAUGCUCAAUCACUAUACUACCUUGUCUGAGUCUCACGAAGGAAAAAUGUAUCUUCCUACUGGCAAUCUUGCACCAGUUAGUCAUAUUGGCUCAUCUCAGAUCUUAGGAGGGGCUGAGAUCACUAAUAUGCUUCAUGUUCCUACUUUUCAAUACAACUUAUUAUCUGUUCCUAGACUAACAAAGGAGUUGAAAUGCAGUGUUAUGUUCUAUCCUAAUUUCUGCAUUUUCCAGGACCUCUCCAAUGGAAAAGUGAGGGGGAUUGGCAAGUUGGAGAAUGACAUGUAUGUGAUUACUGCUGACUGUCAUUUGCAUUCUCAAGGAGCAGAAUUGAGUUCACCUAAAGAUCAAGCUAUUGCAGUUUCUAAGUCUUGUCUUGUACCUUCUUUACAUUCAUCUAGAAUAAGUCUAUCAUUGUGGCAUAAAUGCCUAGGUCAUGUACCUUUUAAUACUCUUAGACAAUUUAGUUCUUUGCAACAGUUGCAUCCUACUACUGAUGCACCUUAUACUGUAUGCCCUUUAGCUAAACAAUCAAGACUAUCUUUUCCUUUAAGUGCUACUUCUACUACUGCUUGCUUUCAACUUUUACACGCUGAUGUAUGGGGUCCCUAUAGAGUUCCAACUCAUGAUAAUAACAGGUAUUUUUUAACCUUAGUAGAUGACUACUCAAGGUAUACCUGGAUAGUUUUGCUUCCCUCCAAAUCUGAGGUCAUAGUUGCACUCAAAAAUUUUCUUAUUAUGGUUGCAAAUGUUUUCUCUUCCUUAGUCAAAAUAUUAACGACAGAUAAUGGCUGUGAGUUUUUUAAUUCCCAAAUGACUGUUCUCCUGGAGUCUCUAGGUAUUUUACACCAAAGUUCAUGCAUAUAUACCCCUCAACAAAAUGGAGUUGUUGAAAGGAAACAUAGACAUAUACUUAAUGUUGCUAGAGCCUUGAGGUUUCAAUCUAGCAUGCCUCUUAAAUUUUGGGGUGAGUGUGCUCUUACUAGUGUCUAUUUGAUCAACAGAUUGCCUUCAUCUAUUUUACACAACAAGACAUCUUAUGAGUUGCUUUAUCUUAGAUCUCUUUCUCUUGAUCAUCUUCGAGUCUUUGCGUGUCUUGCUUUUGCUUCUGAAGUCAGAAAGGUUGACAAGUUUACUCCCAGAGCUUUCCCUACUGUGUUCUUGGGGUAUUCUACAUUACAAAAAGGGUACAAAUUGUUUUCUCUUCAUACUUAAGAGUUCUUAGUGUCCAGAGAUGUAGUUUUCAAAGAGGACAUAUUUCUCUUUACUCAAACCACUUCCUCAUGUCCUCCUUUGUUUCCUAUCUUUCAGUUUACAGAGUCCUUUACUAAGUCCACUCCAGUUCCUCCCAUUGCUACUCUUUAUUCUUCUCUUUGUCCAGCUUCUAUAGUAUCUGAAUGUCCCUUUUCUCCUGCCUAUGCAUCUGAUAUGUCUGCAACUGUUCCCUUAAGAAGAUCCUCUAGAAAUUCCAAACCUCCAAUUUGGCUUCAUGACUAUGUUACUACUCAGCCUAAGUCCACUUGUCUUUAUCCUUUAUCCAAUCAUGUCAGCUAUCGCCAUUUGUAUCCACUUUAUGGCUUAGCCUUAGCUGCAUAUUCCAGCAUCCUUAAGCCUAAGUCUUCCAUAAGGCUGCUCUUAAUCCUUUGUGGGUCGUAGCUAUGCAAGCUAAGAUCAAAGCCUUGGAAGAGAAUCAUACCUGGUCUAUCACUGAUCUUCCUUCUGAUAAACAUCCAAUUGGCUGUAAAUGGGUGUUUAAGGUGAAAUAUCUUGCAUCUGGUGCUGUUGAAAGAUACUAGGCUAGACUUGUUGCAAAGGGGUUCAAUCAGAAAGAAGGCUUGGAUUAUUCUGAAACUUUCUCCCAUGUUGCUAAGAUGGUUACUGUGCGGUCUGUUCUAGCUGUGGCCUCUGCUAAACACUGGCUUGUGUUCCAAAUGGAUGUCCAUAAUGCAUUUCUCCAAGGUGACCUGGUUGAGGAUAUGUAUACGGUUGUUCCUCCAGGCUUUUGCAGACAGGUGGAGUCUGGUAAAGUCUGCAAAUUACACAAGUCACUAUAUGGUUUAAAGCAGACACCUAGGCAAUGGAAUUUUAAACUAAUAGAAGCAUUACUUCAGCUGGGAUUUGUUCAAAGCCACUAUGACUAUUCUCUAUUUACCAGAAGUGAAAAUAAAAAGUUGAUAAUAAUUCUUGUUUAUGUUGAUGACCUUCUGAUAACUAGAAGCUGCAAGAAGCUGAUUGACAGGACCGGGAAUGAUCUGCAACUUAAAUUCAAAAUGAAAGACCUAGGAGAAUUGAAGUUUUUCCUUGGAAUUGAAUUCGCCAGAUCAAAAGAAGGUUAUAUUAUGAGCCAACGUAAGUAUGCCUUGGAACUUGUCUCAGAAAUGGGUCUAAGUGGUGCCAAGCCAGUCAACACUCCACUGGAUCCAAACCUCAGACUAACCUCUAUUGAAUAUGACUCACAUGUACAAGAGGCAAACACUACAUCAAGUGACAAACCUUUGGAAGAUAUUGGUAGAUAUCAAAGCCUUGUAGGGAAACUGUUGUAUCUAACUAUGACCAGGGUAGAUAUCUCCUUUGCAGUACAAGUUCUAAGUCAAUAUAUGCAUGCACCCAAAGAGUCUCAUAUGGAAGCUACACUUAGAGUAGUCAAAUACAUCAAGUCAGCUCCAGGUUUGGGUUUGUUUAUGCCCUCACAAGAUUCUAAUCAAUUGACUGUUUACUGUGACUCUGAUUGGGGUACUUGCUUACAAACGAGAAGAUCUGUGACUGGAUACUUAGUGAAGUUUGGAAAUGCUCUUGUAUCUUGGAAGGCAAAGAAGCAAGAAACAAUUGCUAAAAGUUCUGCAGAAGCUGAGUUUAGGAGUAUGGCAUCUGCAGUAGCUGAAAUUACUUGGCUCAUUGGCAUACACAGUGAACUAGGAGUAACCAUCAAACAACCAGUUGAUCUAUUCUGUGACAGCAAGGCUGCAAUUCAGAUUGCAGCCAACCCUAUUUUUCAUGAGCGAACUAAGCAUUUUGAUAUUGAUUGCUAUUUUGUUAGAGAGAAACUGCUUAAAAAAAUGAUUCAGACACAUCAUGUAUCCACAAAAGAUCAGCUGGCAGAUCUGCUCACAAAAGGUUUAUGGAAAGCUCCACACUCACAUCUUAUGUCCAAGCUGGGAAUGAAAGACAUUUUUCAGCCAUCAGCUUGAGGAUGGGUGUUAUGAAUAUGAGAAUCAAAAGUUACGCAUUGUGAUCAAUGUAACAGUAAAGUUAGUUACAAAAGUUUGUUAUAAUGUUAGUUAAAGGUAACUCUAGUUAAGUUAGACUAACUAGCUUGUACAGUUAAGAUACACUAUAAAUAGAGUAGUGUAGGCAUUAUUUGUAUUGUAUUAGAUUAUCAUUCAACACACAGAAAAGUUCUUCUUUGAUUGAAUCCUCUGCUCUGUAAUUCUUCAGAAUCCCCUAUCACCACCGAAGGUGAAAGCCUGGAUGGAUGAUAUUAAAAUAAAAAUAAAAACGAGACCUUCAGCCUUUAGAACAAAAGAGAUUAUAAUGCAACUUAAUGUCAUCUAGUCCAAAUUUUGCACUAAGAGAAAUUCACUGCCGGUAAUAUAAUAAGAUAUAUGCUUUUGCUGAGAAAUAUUGGAAACAGAUUUUGUCAGCAUAAAAUGCACUUCUUGUUGGUUGUUAGGUAAUUAGACUUGCUUUCAACUUUCAAGCAUAACGAAUAGUUUAGUUCAACAUGUAUAGUAGAAAAAACAAUAGGCAAAAAAUGGUCUAAAUUUCAAAUGAUUGGUCGACGAAUAUAGAAAAGACUUAGAAUAGCAAUUCAUCUUCUGUAGGAAACAAGUACUGGUCUAUCUAUCAAGUUGGUAAUUUCAAAAAUCAUCAAUACUUCCAACCAAAACAAAUUGAAUUAGUUAAUUGUACUCCCAAAGUAAAAGGAUAUUACACUUUUAGUCACUAAGAGGUAGUUUGACCGGAGAUAUUAGAGAAAAUAAUAUUUGUAUUAGCUUUGAUACUACAUAAUUUAUUGUUUGGUAUACCUAUAUAAUUAAUUAUAUAGAGUGAUACAUUAUAUUCAGUAUUAUUAUAUAUUCACCAUGACAUUAACAAUAUAUACUAGUACUAUUCCUAUAUAUUCUAGUACAGUAUACUCCAAUUGGAUUACAUUUUUUAGAAAUUUAUACGAUAUAUAAUAUAUAUGUGUUAGUAUUUGAUGCAACAAACCAGACAAACGAUAAAUGAAAUAUCAGCAUGAACAUUACUAACCAUAUUAAGUAGUAUUCUUAUGUGGCAUUUCAAUCCCUAAAAGAUAAUAAUUACAUAUAAGUAUAUAACCAUUUAUAAAAGGCAAGACUUCGUUACACUACGACAAAGUGAUAUUUAGUGGGAAUCGAUUUUUCUCUUAGUAUUGCCACAAAAAAAAAUUGCGACAAUAUUUUGCGAUAAUUGAGUUAAUUCAAAGAUGCUACAGUUUUUCACGAUAUUUAUAUAGAAUGCUGAUAGUAAGUAUCAAAAAUUAUUAUUAUUAUUAAAUAUAUUAUAACAAUUAGAAUCUUAUUUUAAUCAAUCAAAUUUUAGUCAUUAAUUCUUGCAUAUGCCAUGUGUCUCACAUCCAAGCAAGAACUUGGGAAAAAUGAAGAAAAGAGAAAUAGAGAGUAACCGGAUCCAUUAUAAGGCAUAUUGUCAUUUGUCCGUAUUUAUAAGUUAAAUUUUAAAAAAAUUCAAACAACUGCCAGUGGCCAUAAAUGAAAAUGAUGCAUCCAGAAAAAUACGUCUGGACCUUCUGUAGUAAGGAAUGGUCUCUUCCAAGUCCAAUAAAAAAGACUGCAAAGUCCAUCCACUACUACUGUAACAUGAGGCUAAACUGCACUCUCAAUACAUAGAAAAAUUAACCAACAAUGCAUUAUCUAUCACACAUUCAUAUCCUGGAUGAGAUAAGAUUCACCAUCUUCCGACACGUGGCACUUCUAUUCUUGUCUAUUAAAAUAAAAGACACUUAGCUCCAAUUUCUUAUCUUUCAUGUGGCCAUUAAAUUUUGUAAUAUCAACAGCCACAUAAUCCAAUGGUCACCCUUCAUCUAAGAUGAGGUUUCCUUUGUUUCUAUCCGUUAGAUUAAAAAAAACGUCUAACACCUUAUCAUUAUAUAAAGGGAGUAAGCCACAGUGUAAUAAGCAUCUUAAAAAAAAAACAAGUUUCUUUGAAGUAAAAAAAAAAAAAACGUUUUAUAGCUAAGUAGUAACGUAAUGGCUUCCUCAAUUGUCUCCUCAGCAGCCGUUGCUACCCGUAGCAAUGUUGCUCAAGCUAGCAUGGUCGCACCCUUCACCGGACUCAAAUCCGCCGCGUCUUUCCCCGUUACUAAGAAGAACAACAACGUUGACAUUACUUCCCUUGCUAGCAACGGUGGACGUGUUAGAUGCAUGCAGGUUCAAAUAAUAAUUAUCAGUAUAUAUAUAUAAAAUUUAAAUUAACUAGUUGUCGUUUAUUUAUAAAAUAAAUGUGUUAAUGUAGGUGUGGCCACCAAUUAACAUGAAGAAAUACGAGACAUUGUCAUACCUUCCUGACUUGUCCGAUGAGCAAUUGCUCAAGGAAGUUGAGUACCUUUUGAAAAAUGGAUGGGUUCCUUGCUUGGAAUUCGAGACUGAGGUCAAUAUCUCCUACAUACUUUUACAUGUGUAAUUUAAUUUGUUGAAGGAGAAAAUAAAUGUAUGUUAUAUUG
rnacentral:lncRNA from 1 species